rnacentral:rRNA from 1 species
UUGACCUCGGAUCAGGUAGGAAUACCCGCUGAACUUAAGCAUAUCAUAACAGGGGAGAAGAACAUUAAAGAGUUUUUUAACUCCUAAACCAUGCUGAACAUACAUACGU